rnacentral:sRNA from 1 species
CAUGGCGUACCUCUGAGUCCAGGUCCUUGCUGUGUUCUCGUACUUGUGCCUAUCUGUCUUGUACAUGUGGGCGAUCUCAGGGACCAGAGGAUCAUCAGGGUUCGGAUCAGAAAAUAGCGUUAAGCGAGAAAGGAAACCUUGGAAAUGGUUAGUGCUGGGCUCCAUUGGUCCUUAAGGAUGUCAAGGCAAAUGCUCCCGUUGCUGUUGAUGUUUGGAUGGAAAACCUUGUCACUGCCAAGUACCUUGGGUGGUUUGAAGGGAUAAUCAGGAGGGAAGUGGAUGGUAACUAGGAAAACUCCACCAGCAUAUGGGCUAUCAGAUGGACCCAUUAUCGUUGCCUGCCAGUGGAACAUGUCUUCACCAACAGGACCUACCUGCACUGCAUGAUGUAGGGGGAUCCUUCUGCAGAUCCUUGAGCUCCUUCUGUAUCCUCUUUGACGCCAUC